GUGAAAAGUGAUAUGCAUUUUCUAACUUUUGAUUGUUAGAAGUGAUGAACUAUAAUAAUAAUAAUAUUCAAUAUUCUUUGAUUUUUCAUCAAUUCCGGAUUACUUUCAUCGUGGAAAUAUGUGAGAUAAGAAGUGAAAAACUGUAAUAAUAAUAUUCAACAUUCGAUGAUUUUUCACCAAUUCCAGAUUAGUUUCAUAGUGAAAAUAUGUGAGGUUUUGCAUCUCAAUCUUUUAUCCAAUGUGCAGACUUUGAGAAGAUAGAUAUCAGCCGAGUGGAUAAGGCUGGCCACAUUGAGGAUCAAGAGACAAAAAUAAGUUUUGGUUGAUGUAGGUACUUUGAUUACAUUAAAAAUUUUAAAUAAUUCUAUGAUCUUUCAUUUAACAAA